AUACGAAGGGGGCAAGCGUUGUUCGGAAUUAUUGGGCGUAAAGAGCAUGUAGGCGGACUGUUAAGUCUGGUGUGAAAGCCCGGGGCUCAACCCCGGAAGUGCAUUGGAUACUGGCAGUCUUGAGUAUGGGAGAGGAAAGUGGAAUUCCGAGUGUAGGAGUGAAAUCCGUAGAUAUUCGGAGGAACACCAGUGGCGAAGGCGGCUUUCUGGACCAAUACUGACGCUGAGAUGCGAAAGCGUGGGGAGCGAACAGGAUUAGAUACCCCAGUAGUCC
rnacentral:rRNA from 1 species